GGUGGCUCAGUGGUAGAGUGUUUGCCUUGCAUGCAUGAAGCCCUGGGUUCAAUUCCUCAGUACCA
rnacentral:tRNA from 1 species